rnacentral:rRNA from 1 species
GACGAACGCUGGCGGCGUGCCUAAUACAUGCAAGUAGGACGCAGUUGCGAACGGGUGAGUAACGCGUAGGUAACUAGCUAUUAGAGGGGGAUAACUAUUGGAAACGAUAGCUAAUACCGCAUACUAGUAGAUGGAACUGCGUUGUAUUAGCUAGUAGGUAGGGUAAUGGCCUACCUAGGCAACGAUACAUAGCCGAGCUGAGAGGGUGGUCGGGUACACUGGGACUGAGACACGGCCCAGGCGCCUACGGGAGGGAGCAGUAGGGAAUCUUCGGCAAUGGGGGGAACCCUGACCGAGCAACGCCGCGUGGGUUAAGAAGGUUUUCGGGUCUGAAAGCUCUGUUGUUAAGGAAGCGGUACCUAAUCAGAAAGCCACGGCUAACUACGUGCCAGCAGCCGCGGUAAUUC